rnacentral:ncRNA from 1 species
ACGGGUGUCCAUCUGCGGGAUGGGUGAAAAGGGAAUCCGGUGGGAAUCCGGAACGAUGCCGUCACUGUGUACGGGAGCUUUGCCCAAGAAAGUCACUGGGAGACCGGGAAGAGGGGGAAAGCGAUGAACGAAGUCAGGAGACCUGCCCGUGUG